rnacentral:lncRNA from 1 species
CCUCCAGUUGGUUUGCAUUUUAAAACUACAACCUGGUUUGUUUUUGAAAACACAAGAAAUGGGAAGAAAGCUGAAUUAAAAUAGAAAAAGUCUCCACUUACUUAAAAUGCAGCCAGAGGAUGGAUCAAGAGAUCUGUAUCAAGAGGAUGGAUAGAAAGAAAGAGAGAGAGAGACUAAAGGUGUCAGCCGUGGGUCUGAGUGGUCUGAAGAGAAGGGUGGUGGGUGUGGGUCUGAGUGGUCUGAAGAGAAGGGUGGUAGGUGUGGGUCUGAGUGGUCUGAAGAGAAGGGUGGUAGGUGUGGGUCUGAAUGGUCUGAAUAGAAGGGUGGUAGGUGUGGGUCUGAGUGGUCUGAAGAGAAGGGUGGUAGGUGUGGGUCUGAGUGGUCUGAAGAGAAGGGUGGUAGGUGUGGGUCUGAGUGGUCUGAAGAGAAGGGUGGUAGGUGUGAAGGGUCUUUAUUUGGAGCUGCAAAGUAAAGAGAAUAGAACAAGUUUAGAAUUGUAUUUCACAGCUGUAUAUGUAGGACACUUAUUUUAAUCAAAUGUAACUGAGGAUUUAAAUGUACUUAAUUUGUAAGUGGAUUACAUCACAAAAACUACAGGUGGUGUACAAAAAUGUAAAGAAUGUGAAUGAUGGAUAACAAGAUGACCAUUGGAUAGAUACACAUUCACUGUGGAUGGGAGCAUUGCUGUCUGGUGGUCCCAAUUCAUCCAUUGUUUGGAAUUGUUUUCUCCACAAGAUCUAAAACUGUCUUUAGAAAGGCUUUGCAAAGACAAGUUGAACUAGAUCUAUUAAGGAGGGGUGUCAAACUCAUUCCACAGAGGGCCAAGUGUCUCUGCUGGUUUUUGGUUUUUCAUUUCAAUCAACACCUGGACAACCUAACCAGGUGAGGGGAGUUCCUUAGUCAUUUGUGACCUUCAUUUAUCAAUCAAGGGUGGAGCAAAAACCUGCAAACAC